GGCGUAGAGCGAGCGCAGGCGGUUAGAUAAGUCUGAAGUUAAAGGCUGUGGCUUAACCAUAGUNCGCUUUGGAAACUGUUUAACNUGAGUGCAGAAGGGGAGAGUGGAAUUCCAUGUGUAGCGGUGAAAUGCGUAGAUAUAUGGAGGAACACCGGUGGCGAAAGCGGCUCUNUGGUCUGUAACUGACGCUGAGGCUCGAAAGCGUGGGGAGCGAACAGGAUUAGAUACCCUGGUAGUCCACGCCGUAAACGAUGAGUGCUAGGUGUUAGGCCCUUUCCGGGGCUUAGUGCCGCAGCUAACGCAUUAAGCACUCCGCCUGGGGAGUACGACCGCAAGGUUGAAACUCAAAGGAAUUGACGGGGGCCCGCACAAGCGGUGGAGCAUGUGGUUUAAUUCGAAGCAACGCGAAGAACCUUACCAGGUCUUGACAUCCCGAUGCCCGCUCUAGAGAUAGAGUUUUACUUCGGUACAUCGGUGACAGGUGGUGCAUGGUUGUCGUCAGCUCGUGUCGUGAGAUGUUGGGUUAANUCCCGCAACGAGCGCAACCCUUAUUGUUAGUUGCCAUCAUUCAGUUGGGCACUCUAGCGAGACUGCCGGUAAUAAACCGGAGGAAGGUGGGGAUGACGUCAAAUCAUCAUGCCCCUUAUGACCUGGGCUACACACGUGCUACAAUGGCUGGUACAACGAGUCGCAAGUCGGUGACGGCAAGCUAAUCUCUUAAAGCCAGUCUCAGUUCGGAUUGUAGGCUGCAACUCGCCUACAUGAAGUCGGAAUCGCUAGUAAUCGCGGAUCAGCACGCCGCGGUGAAUACGUUCCCGGGCCUNGU
rnacentral:rRNA from 1 species